rnacentral:rRNA from 1 species
UGUAGGGGAGACUGAAAUUCCUGGUGUAGCGGUGAAAUGCGCAGAUAUCAGGAGGAACACCGAUGGCGAAGGCAGGUCUCUGGGCAUUAACUGACGCUGAGGAGCGAAAGCAUGGGGAGCGAACAGGAUUAGAUACCCUGGUAGUCCAUGCCGUAAACGUUGGGCACUAGGUGUGGGGGACAUUCCACGUUUUCCGCGCCGUAGCUAACGCAUUAAGUGCCCCGCCUGGGGAGUACGGCCGCAAGGCUAAAACUCAAAGGAAUUGACGGGGGCCCGCACAAGCGGCGGAGCAUGCGGAUUAAUUCGAUGCAACGCGAAGAACCUUACCAAGGCUUGACAUGAACCGGAAACGCCUGGAGACAGGUGCCCCGCUUGCGGUCGGUUUACAGGUGGUGCAUGGUUGUCGUCAGCUCGUGUCGUGAGAUGUUGGGUUAAGUCCCGCAACGAGCGCAACCCUCGUUCUAUGUUGCCAGCACGUGAUGGUGGGGACUCAUAGGAGACUGCCGGGGUCAACUCGGAGGAAGGUGGGGACGACGUCAAAUCAUCAUGCCCCUUAUGUCUUGGGCUUCACGCAUGCUACAAUGGCCGGUACAAAGGGUUGCGAUACUGUGAGGUGGAGCUAAUCCCAAAAAGCCGGUCUCAGUUCGGAUUGGGGUCUGCAACUCGACCCCAUGAAGUCGGAGUCGCUAGUAAUCGCAGA